rnacentral:rRNA from 1 species
UACGUAGGUGGCGAGCGUUGUCCGGAUUUACUGGGCGUAAAGAGCGCGCAGGCGGCUGGUCAAGUCCGAUGUGAAAGCUCCCGGCUUAACUGGGAAAUUUGCAUCGGAAACUGAUCGGCUGGAAGGUGGGAGAGGGUAGCGGAAUUCCCCGGUGUAGUGGUGAAAUGCGUAGAUAUCGGGAGGAACACCAGUGGCGAAAGCGGCUACCUGGCCCAUUCUUGACGCUGAGGCGCGAAAGCUAGGGGAGCAAACGGG